ensembl:lncRNA
CAGUUAUCUGUCACUGUGUUUGUGUGCGCGUCAAGGGUGUGGGGUGGUGGUAGGGCAGAGUAGCUCUCUGAGUUGCACGUUAUAUAAGCAAUAAUGAGGGUAAUGUAUCGACUGUAUUGAUAUGCACUAAGCUGACAUCUGCACCGAGUUGCCCUAACAACAGAUAAUGGCUGCUUAUCAGUUAUUAAGCUUGUGCCAAUGGGUUCAUGCUCAGGAGAUGAAACCAGAUGGUGUGGAUAGCUAGUGAUGGCAAUUACAUCAAACCAGGACACGUGGAAGCAUACAGCGAAGACACGGUCGUGUUCAUUGGCCUUUUUGAAAGGAAACCUCUCGAAACUAUAUGCUCAAUCUCUUGUGGGAGUGACAGCAGUGUCUCACAAGUGGCAUGAAAAACACCGUGUGCAGGGACGGCCCUCUUCCCCUCCUUCAAUACCAAGCGGCAAUAGUGCUCACAGCUGGAGAAGGCUGGAAGUGAGACUCUACUGUCUCCAUUCACGGCUCCUGUGCCGCUCCUCAGCUGUGCCAUUUUCAAUCAAUAGCUUUUAGGAAAUAAGCAUCUACCCUGCAGUUUGGAUUGAAAAGGCUCUUUUGUUGUGAAGCCCAGAGUGUGUUGCAUUCAAGAAAGAAAUGGCACCUGUUGAGCAGCCGUUCUUAAGGAAGGGAAACAGGACUGAAACUGGACUGAAAAUUAGUGGAAACAAGUCUGAUGGAAAUAUGAGGAGAAGGUCAACAGAGAGGCACCAGAGUGAGUGUCUACAGCCAUCUGUAAAACUCUGUGGAGGCUGUGUUGAGUUUUUUUCUGGGCUUCAUUUAAGCCGGUAGUGAUGGAGAUCUUGUUCAAAUUGAUGGAGUUAUGAACACAAAAAAGUACCACCAUGCAAUAUUACCUGGAAAGCGUCUGAUUGGUGUACUCUUCAGCAUGACCAUGAUCCCAAACACACUUACAAAACUGUGCAAACUCUGGUUUUUCUUUUCAUGCUGCAUUUCCAUGCAUGUUUGCACGUUUCAGUAAAUACAGCUAAAAUAGAAGCACACUUCUGUAUAUUUGCUACUAGCCUCAUCAAGUAAAAGCCAAACGUUUAGAGUUCUUUAUAUUUUUUUAAAUGGACAGCCUAUCAUUACACCAGCCAUUAUGCUGUAAAUGAGAAGAUAAUGUAAUCCCCAAAUGACACAGUUCAAAACUUUUGGGUCUCUGGUACAUGUUUAUGCAAUAUUCUAUUCUAAUUCCUUUUUGUUACAUUUUUAUUUCAUGCUCGUUUAACUAUUCAUGUUUUAGAAUAGUUUGUUGCACUACUCUGCCUGGUUUACACUCAAUGUCAUUUACCCUUACCUGAAUAUUGUAUAUUGUAUAUUGCAUAGCUUUCUUGUUAAUUUGUAUUGUAUUUAUUUAAAUUUUUACUUUUUAAUUAUUUUAUUUGCAUUUUUUUAAUCA